rnacentral:rRNA from 1 species
CUCUUUCUUCGAUAAGAACUCUUAGAAAAAAUUACGCUGUUAUCCCUAAGGUAAUUUGCUCUUUUAAUCUAAACCAAUUUCAGGAUCAUUAAUUUUCAUAUAUCAAUGUUUCAAUUUAUAAAAAGUUAAUUAAAUUUUUAAAUCACCCCAAUCAAAUAUCAUUUACACAAAUUAUAAAAUUAUUCUUUAUCUAUAAUCUUUGCCUAAACAUAUUAAACUCUAUAGGGUCUUCUCGUCUUUUAUUAAAAUUUAAGCUUUUUUACUUAAAAAUAAAAUUCAAAACUUUAAAAUUGAGACAGAAACUUUUUCAUCAAACCCUUCAUUCCAGCUUCUAAUUAAGAAACUAAUGAUUAUGCUACCUUAGCACGGUCAAAAUACCGCGGCCAUUUAA